rnacentral:rRNA from 1 species
UACGUAGGGUGCAAGCGUUGUCCGGAAUUAUUGGGCGUAAAGAGCUCGUAGGCGGUCUGUUGCGUCGGCUGUGAAAACCCGAGGCUCAACCUCGGGCCUGCAGCCGAUACGGGCAGACUAGAGUUCGGCAGGGGAGACUGGAAUUCCUGGUGUAGCGGUGAAAUGCGCAGAUAUCAGGAGGAACACCGGUGGCGAAGGCGGCAUCCUGGACCAAUAUUGACGCUGAGGAGCGAAAGCCAGGGGAGCAAACGGG